CCUUCGUGCUGGCUGUCACUGCCAAAACCGCUAAGUAGAGACAGGGAUCGGACCUCUCUGGGCCCUUUAUUCAGACGCCAGCGAUCUGAGGAGACAGCAGGUUAUGUACCUCAAAUACCAGCUUACGUCUCCUCUCAAGCUGACCUUUCUAUAAGGAGAAGGGAUGCAGUACCCUCUGGGUACUUUGCAUGGUGACCCUGAAUCAUGAUGUUUUCCAGUCUGGCUUCUGAGAACAGGCACUGCUCCCACCUCUUGGGCUGCACCGUGAAUCUACCACCCUGGCUUCCCUGAACUCUUCCAGCUCCACUGGCUCCGCCUCCCUGUGCCUCAGCGUGGAGACUGUCUCCAGGCAGUAAGGCUGGGCAGUCAGAGGGCUUACCUCCUUCAUUUCCCAUAUCUCAGAGUGUACCGCCCUUUUGUUGCCUGAGGUCCAGCAUCUUGAGAACUGUUGUUUUAUCAAUUCGAUCUCUCUCUCUCUUUUUAGUUUCUGUCAGGCAGGAAGGUAAAUAUAGUUCCUUUUACUCCAUCUUGGUUGAAAGCAGGAUUCCAGAUGCUCCAUCUGGAAAAAUAAAUUAUGGUACAUGUAUGUGAUGGAAUAUCAUACGACCUUGAAAAAGAAUGCCUUAACCUGUCACAAAAGACUACAUAUUGCAUGAUUCUAUUUAUAUGAAAUGUCCUGAAUGGGUAAAUCUAUACAGUCAGAAACUGAAGCCACAGGGGAGUUGCAGGGAGGGGUGGCGGUAGCUAAAGGGUGUGGGGUUUCAUUUUGGGUGAUGAACCAGUUCCAAAACUGUGGCAAAUGUUAUACAACUCUGAAUAUACUGAAAACCAUUGAACUGUGUACUUUAAAGGGGUGUAAAAGAAAAGAAAUGCACUUGAGCUACAUGGCUUUGAAAAAGUCAAUUUCAGAAGCAGGGCAGGAGGAAAUCUGGUGGCAGAAGAGUCCUCUGAGCACAAAUAGCUGUUUACAUAAAGCUUUAAAAUAAGCACAACAUUUCUCUGGAUGUUCAGGGAUGCCUCUGGCCUGUGGUGCAGAGAAAGGUGGGGUUGGUUCCUUCUGGAAGAACACAGAUAAAAUUAGGGCUGUGUGUUGGUGAGGGAGAUAAAAGGGUGGUGAUUUUAUCUCUAAUGUUUUAUGUCUUGGUCUGGGGCAGCCUUCACCUGUGCGCUUUUCUUUAUGUCUAAGUUUUCUUAGUAAGAUUCCUUGUCAGAUAAAUCGUUCAGCCUUUCCCCUGAUGCCGGGGCCCCCUUCUUCCCUGUGCCCACACAGCACCCCAUGGAGAAUUCCAGCACCAUGCUGAGGGGCUGACUUCCCAUUGCUGAUG